CCUACGGGUGGCAGCAGUGGGGAAUAUUGGGCAAUGGGCGCAAGCCUGACCCAGCAACGCCGCGUGAAGGAAGAAGGCUUUCGGGUUUUAAACUUCUUUUGUCAGGGAAGAGUAGAAGACGGUACCUGACGAAUCAGCCACGGCUAACUACGUACCAGCAGCCGCGGUAAUACGUAGGUGGCAAGCGUUGUCCGGAUUUACUGGGUGUAAAGGGCGUGUAGGCGGGUUGACAAGUCAGAUGUGAAAGCCUGGGGCUUAACCGCAGAACUGCAUUUGAAACUGUUGAUCUUGAGUACUGGAGAGGCAGACGGAAUUCCUAGUGUAGCGGUGAAAUGCGUAGAUAUUAGGAGGAACACCAGUGGCGAAGGCGGUCUGCUGGACAGCAACUGACGGUGAGGCGCGAAAGCGUGGGGAGCAAACAGGAUUAGAUACCCCAGUAGUC
rnacentral:rRNA from 1 species